rnacentral:rRNA from 1 species
UACCAGCUCCCCGAGCGGCCGGGGCGAUUAUUGGGCCUAAAGCGUCCGUAGCCGGCCUAGUAAGUCUCCUGUUAAAUCCAGCGAUCCAAUCGCUGGACUGCAGGAGAUACUGCUAGGCUAGGGGGCGGGAGAGGCUGGCGGUAUUUCCGAGGGAGGGGCGAAAUCCUGAGAUCCCGGGAGGACCACCAGUGGCGAAGGCGGCCAGCUGGAACGCGCCCGACGGUGAGGGACGAAAGCCGGGGGAGCGAACCGG